CAGUAGCCGCGGGAAUACGUAGGUGGCAAGCGUUGUCCGGAAUUAUUGGGCGUAAAGGGCUCGCAGGCGGUUUCUUAAGUCUGAUGUGAAAGCCCCCGGCUCAACCGGGGAGGGUCAUUGGAAACUGGGAAACUUGAGUGCAGAAGAGGAGAGUAGAAUUCCACGUGUAGCGGUGAAAUGCGUAGAGAUGUGGAGGAACACCAGUGGCGAAGGCGACUCUCUGGUCUGUAACUGACGCUGAGGAGCGAAAGCGUGGGGAGCGAACAGGAUUAGAUACCCCAGUAGUCCCUGUCUCUUAUAC
rnacentral:rRNA from 1 species